AAAUUGGGGAUGUCACGAGGCUGAUGCAGUACUGGAACAACAUCAGGUGCCCCAGCAAGAGCGGCCAGAAGGGCUGGAAGAACGCGUGGGAGACGUCCGGCGUCUGCUCCGACCUCACCGAGAGCGCCUACUUUGACACCGCCCUCGCCCUCCGCGACAAGAUCAACCCCCUUUCUCGCCUCGUCAGCAACGGUAUUAAGCCGGACUUUGGGCUGUACAGCGUGAAGAAGAUCAAGGAGGUGAUCGAGG
rnacentral:misc_RNA from 1 species